GUAACGCUAGCUACAGGCCUAACACAUGCAAGUCGAGGGGUAGCGUGAGGGAAGCUUGCUUCCCUGACGACGACCGGCGAAUGGGUGAGUCACGCGUGUCCAACCUGCCCCGUGCCCGGGGAUAGCCCUUGGAAAUGAGGAUUAAGACCCGAUAUGUGGCGCUUCCGCAUGGCGGCGCCAUGAAGCAGGCACGGGAUGGGACGCGUCGGAUUAGCUUGACGGCGGGGCAACGGCCCACCGUGGCGACGAUCCGCAGGGGUUCUGAGAGGAAGGUCCCCCACACUGGCACUGAGACACGGGCCAGACUCCUACGGGAGGCAGCAGUGAGGAAUAUUGGUCAAUGGGCGGGAGCCUGGACCAGCCCAAGUAGCGUGCAGGACGACGGCCCUACGGGUUGUAAACUGCUUUUCCGGGAGGAUAAAGUGAGCCACGCGUGGUUCAUUGCAGGUAUCCCGGGAAUAAGGACCGGCUAAUUCCGUGCCAGCCGCCGC
rnacentral:rRNA from 1 species